rnacentral:rRNA from 1 species
UACGUAGGGGGCGAGCGUUGUCCGGAUUCAUUGGGCGUAAAGCGCGCGUAGGCGGCGCCGCAAGUCGGCCGUGAAAUCUCCAGGCUCAACUUGGAGGGGUCGGGCGAGACUGCGGGGCUCGAGGCGGGCAGAGGGCAGUGGAAUUCCGGGUGUAGUGGUGGAAUGCGUAGAGAUCCGGAGGAACACCAGUGGCGAAGGCGGCUGCCUGGGCCUGGCCUGACGCUGAGGCGCGAAAGCGUGGGGAGCGAUCCGGAUUAGAAACCCCCGUAGUCC